rnacentral:rRNA from 1 species
CGGCGUGCUUAACACAUGCAAGUCGAACGGAUUUAGGCGGGAGCUUGCUCUUGCCUAAGUGAGUGGCGGACGGGUGAGUAACGCGUGAACAAUCUGUCUCAUACAGGGGAAUAACGCAUCGAAAGAUGUGCUAAUACCGCGUAGGACCACGAAGGGGCAUCCUUUUGAGGUGAAAGUCGCAAGACGGUAUGAGGUGAGUUCGCGUCUGAUUAGAUAGUUGGUGAGGUAACGGCCCACCAAGUCAACGAUCAGUAGCCGACCUGAGAGGGUGAUCGGCCACAUUGGGACUGAGACACGGCCCAGACUCCUACGGGAGGCAGCAGUGGGGAAUAUUGGGCAAUGGGCGAAAGCCCUGACCCAGCAACGCCGCGUGAAGGAAGAAGGUUUUCGGAUCGUAAACUUCUGUCCUUGGUGAAGAUAAUGACGGUAGCCAAGGAGGAAGCCCCGGCUAACUACGUGCCAGCAGCAGC